rnacentral:lncRNA from 1 species
AAAAAGGUAGCAGUAACAUUGCUGUGAGUUUUUAAAAUGUUUUAGUGGAUGCUGUUACAGAUGUUGUGGUGUUAAUGGUAUCAGUUCUUUAUACAACUUUAUAAAUCCUUGUCCCUCUGCAACAUUUUCUAAGUAAAAAGAAACCUAGAAUAUUCAAGUAUUUUUUUUUCCACUAUCAGGAGUCUUCAUGUAUUUCUGUUGAUAUCCUUAAAGAAACUCUCUAAAAGAAAAAUAAAACAAGAUCAUCUUAAGAGAAAUUAAUUUUACAGUUCUGUGAUAUAAAGUACAAGGAGGUAAAACAAACCAAAAAAUGCAUUUCAGUGAAAUACAUACUGUGAUUAUUUUUUUUUAAAAAAAAAGCAGUUUAUUUUUCUUAGAGUCUGGUGGUCAUUUUUUUCAGGAUUAAUAGUUUGGCUUUCUGUGAACACUGGUUAGGACAAAAAGAUGAUAGAAUCUAAGAAAUCUUUCUUGUCAAACACUAACAUUGGAUUUCAUGCUAUUUCAUAGCCUGUAAUUUAAAAUUCUGCAUUUUAUUUAGUUUAAUUCCAUCACUUUCUCUUACUUAUUACGUUCACCAUAUUUUUAUAUAGUUAAAUUUUCAGUGUUGAACUCUUCGGGAUCUGGGAUCUAAAGCAGACUGAUCAACUAAUUUAGCUACUCUGAGGGCUACAGCACUGUCUGCAAAUAUGUAUUUCCAAGAGAAGAGUCUAACUUCUGAUGAAACAGACACCAUCAUAUCAGAGAGUGAUGGACUGGCAAUAAAUACCUCCACCCCCAAAAUGCCAGGCUUGAUACAACACCAGAUGCAGCUACACAAACCAGAAAGUUUUCAUGUCAGUACUUUUCAAAAAGCACAUGAUAUUCUUCACAUGAUGUAUGUCAAUAUGUGUAAUUUUUAAAAAGGAAGGAAAUAUCUAUCGUUGAAAUGGACUGGAUUAUUAUAUAAAAAUCCCUCAGAUAGAAAGAAAUGUAGUUUUAGUUGCAUCAUGUAUUUUGGUAUUAUGUCACUUUUAGAGGGUCUCUUUCUAAAAAAAAGAUUGUUAAAUAAGUAGAAGAUAUUAAUUUACUGAGUAAUUUUCAACACCAGACACCUGUUAAACUAUUAAACUUAUUUAUAAAACUAAUUUUUAUGUUUUAAAACCCAGGAGAAAAAUGUUUAUUAGGUAGACAGAAAUCAGUUCUGUGACUGAUAAAAUUUGUUUCUGUACAGCUUUGGUAUAUCUAGCUG